rnacentral:rRNA from 1 species
CGUGUAGGCGGAGCUGCAAGUCAGAUGUGAAAUCUCCGGGCUUAACCCGGAAACUGCAUUUGAAACUGUAGUCCUUGAGUAUCGGAGAGGCAAGCGGAAUUCCUAGUGUAGCGGUGAAAUGCGUAGAUAUUGGGAGGAACACCAGUGGCGAAGGCGACUUGCUGGGCCGUAACUGACGCUGAGGCGCGAAAGCGUGGGAGCGAACA